UACGAAGGGGGCUAGCGUUGCUCGGAAUUACUGGGCGUAAAGGGCGCGUAGGCGGAUAGUUUAGUCAGAGGUGAAAGCCCAGGGCUCAACCCUGGAAUUGCGUUUGAUACUGGCUAUCUUGAGUUCGGGAGAGGUGAGUGGAACUCCGAGUGUAGAGGUGAAAUUCGUAGAUAUUCGGAAGAACACCAGUGGCGAAGGCGACUCACUGGCCCGAUACUGACGCUGAGGCGCGAAAGCGUGGGGAGCAAACAGG
rnacentral:rRNA from 1 species